AAAGAGAAAGAGCGUGAUUUUCGAUUACAAGGAGGAUUCUCAAAGAGAAAGAGCGUGAUUUUCGGGUUAAAUGGGGGAUUUUCAAAGAGAAAAUGCGUGAUUUUUGCUUAAAUGGGGGAUUCUCGAAGAGAAAACACAUGAUUUUUGGGUAAAAUGGGGGAUUCUUGAAGAGAAAACACACGGUUUUCGCUUAAAUGUGGGAUUCUCAAAGACAAAAUGCGUGGUCUUCAGGUUAAAUGGGGGAUUUUCAAAGAAAAAAUUUAUGAUUUUCGCUUAAAAGGGGGAUUCUCGAAGAGAAAGCGUGUGAUUUUUGCUUAAAUGGGGGAUUCUCGAAGAGAAAACACGUGAUUUUCUGGUAAAAUGAGGGAUUUGCGAAGAGACAACGCGUGAUUUUUGGCUUAAAUGGGGGAUUCUCGAAGAUAAAUUGCAUGAUUUUCAGCUAAGAUGGGGGAUUCUCGAAGAGAAAGCGUGUGAUUUUCGGGUUAAAUGGGGGUUUUCCAUAGAGAAAACAUGGCAUUUUUGCAUAAACGGGGGGUUUCCGAAGAGGAAACGCGUGAUUUUUGGGUUAAGUGGGGGAUUCUCAAAAGGAAAUGCAUGAUUUUUGGGUUGAGUGGGGGAUUCUCAAAAAGAAAGCGCGUGAUUUUCGUGUUAAAUGGGGGGCUCCGAAAAAGAAAAUGCAUGAUUUUCGCUUAAAUGCGGGAUUCUCGAAGAGAAAGCGCGUGAUUUUUGCUUAAAUCGGAGAUGUUAGAAGAAAAAAUGUGUGAUUUUCGCUUAAAUGGGGGAUUCUCGAAAAGAAAGAGCGUGAUUUUUGCUUAAAUGGGGGAUUCUCUUAGAGAAAACACAUGAUUUUUGCUUAAAUGGGGGAUUUGCGAAGAGAAAACGUGUGAUUUUCGGGUUAAAUGAGGGUUUUCUGAAAAGAAAACACGUGAUUUUUGCUUAAAUGGGUGAUUCUCGAAGAGAAAACGUGAUUUUUGGAUUAAACGGGAAAUUCUCAAUGAGAAACGCGUGAUUUUCGGGUUAAAUGGGGGAUUUGCGAAGAGAAAACGCGUGAUUUUCGGUUAAAUGGGGGUUUCUUGAAGAGAAAACACAUGAUUUUCGCUUAAAUGGGGGAUUCUCGAAGAGAAAGCGCGUGAUUUUUGCUUAAAUGGGGGAUUUUGGAAGAAAAAACGUAUGAUUUUUGCUUAAAUGGGGGAUUCUCGAAGAGAAAGCGUGUGAUUUUUGCUUAAAUGGGGGAUUCUCGAAGAGAAAACACAUGAUUUUCAGCUAAAAUGGGGGAUUCUUGAAGAGAAAAUGCACAAUUUUCGCUUAAAUGUGGGAUUCUCGAAGAGAAAACGUGUGGUCUUCAGAUUAAAUGGGGGUUUCUCGAAAAGAAAACGCGUGAUUUUUUGGGUAAAAUGGGGGAUUUGCGAAGAGACAAUGCGUGAUUUUUGGCUUAAAUGGAGGAUUCUCGAAGAGAAAACACGUGAUUUUCAGCUAAGAUGGGGGAUUAUCAAAGAGAAAGAGCGUGAUUUUCGAUUACAAGGAGGAUUCUCAAAGAGAAAGAGCGUGAUUUUCGGGUUAAAUGGGGGAUUUUCAAAGAGAAAAUGCGUGAUUUUUGCUUAAAUGGGGGAUUCUCGAAGAGAAAACACAUGAUUUUUGGGUUAAAUGGGGGAUUUGCAAAGAGAAAACGCGUGAUUUUUGCUGAAAUGGGGGAUUCUCAAAGAGAAAAUGCGUGAUUUUUGCUUAAAUCGGGGAUGUUAGAAGAAAAAACAUGUGAUUUUCACUUAAAUGGGG
ensembl:lncRNA